rnacentral:rRNA from 1 species
AGUGAACGCUGGCGGUAGGCCUAACACAUGCAAGUCGAACGGAAGCACAGUAAGAGCUUGCUCUUACGGGUGGCGAGUGGCGGACGGGUGAGGAAUACAUCGGACUCUACUUUUUCGUGGGGGAUAACGUAGGGAAACUUACGCUAAUACCGCAUACGACCUACUGGUGAAAGCAGGGGAUCUUCGUACCUUGCGCGAUUGAAUUAGCCGAUGUCGGAUUAGCUAGUUGGCGGGGUAAAGGCCCACCAAGGCGACGAUCCGUAGCUGGUCUGAGGGGAUGAUCAGCAACACUGGAACUGAGACAAGGUCCAGACUCCGAAGGGAGGCAGCAGUGGGGAAUAUUGGACAAUGGGCGCAAGCCUGAACCAGCCAAACCGCGUAGGUGAAGAAGGCCUUCGGGUUGUAAAGCACUUUUGUUGGGAAAGAAAAGCAGCAGGUUAAUACCCAGCUGUUCUGACGGUACCCAAAGAAUAAGCACCGGCUAACUUCGUG